UACGGAGGGAGCUAGCGUUGUUCGGAAUUACUGGGCGUAAAGCGUGCGCAGGCGGUUUUGUAAGCCAGAUGUGAAAUCCCCGGGCUUAACCUGGGAAUGGCGUUUGGGACUGCAAGGCUCGAGUGCGGCAGAGGAGACUGGAAUUCCUGGUGUAGCAGUGAAAUGCGUAGAUAUCAGGAGGAACACCGAUGGCGAAGGCAGGUCUCUGGGCUGACACUGACGCUCACGCACGAAAGCGUGGGGAGCAAACAGG
rnacentral:rRNA from 1 species